AAUUUCAGCUGAAAAAGUCGUGAACAUAAAAGUUGUAGAGCUCAUCAAGACAUACAACUUUUAUUUUGGUCAUUUCUUCAUCCGAUAAAGUGAUAGUAACAUUGUUCACAAAGUUUACAUAUCUCUCUUAUAGUUUAUAGAACCAGAUGAGACAGAUGUAAAUUUUGUAAACAAUGUUACUAUCAUUUUGUCGAAUGAAGAAACGACCAAAAUAAAAGUUAUAGAUCUUGAUGAGUUAUACAACUUCGUUGUUGAUGACUUUUUCAAUUGAAAUC
rfam:Oryza sativa Japonica Group DNA, chromosome 7, cultivar: Nipponbare, complete sequence.